GCCCCGGUGGCCUAAUGGAUAAGGCCUCCUAAGCCAGGGAUUGUGGCUUCAAGUACCACCUGGGGUA
rnacentral:tRNA from 1 species